rnacentral:rRNA from 1 species
GGGCCCGCACAAGCGGUGGAGCAUGUGGUUUAAUUCGAUGCAACGCGAAGAACCUUACCAGGGCUUGACAUACUACAAAUUCUUUUGAGAAAAAGAAGUGCCUUCGGGAAUGUAGAUACAGGUGGUGCAUGGCUGUCGUCAGCUCGUGUCGUGAGAUGUUGGGUUAAGUCCCGCAACGAGCGCAACCCUUAUUUUUAGUUACCAAUUCGUUGGGUUCUCUAGAAAGACUGCCGGUGACAAACCGGAGGAAGGUGAGGAUGACGUCAAGUCAGCAUGCCCCUUAUGCCCUGGGCUACACACGUGCUACAAUGGCUAAGACAAAGAGUCGCGAGCUCGCAAGAGUCAGCUAAUCUCAUAAACUUAGUCUAAGUUCAGAUUGUAGGCUGCAACUCGCCUACAUGAAGUUGGAAUCGCUAGUAAUCG